AACAUUGUGUGAACAUGUUUUUUGUGCUCGCUUUUUCUACGUGAUCUGGGUGUUGCUGUCACUGUCACGAAUAGUGCUCUUUUUAUUAGUAAUGUUGUGAUUCAUUUUUACUCCAUUUCUUGUCUAAAGGUUGUUUUCCCCUUAAAUUUCUUGUCUAACGGUUGUUUUCUUGACAGCUGUGAUUGAAAUUAUGCCCCAUGUUUGAUUUAAUGCUUUAACCUUCAGAAUGUUGGUGAAUAUAGGAAAAUCUGUUCUUUCUCAGCUUUAGCUCUUUCUCUCUGAUGUAAUGUCAUUUUUAUACAUCCUUUUUAAAGUGAAGUGUUUUCUCUUUAAUGGCUGGUUCUCCUAUGAAAAGCAUCUGAAGUUCUAAGGUCCGUAAAGAUUAUGUUUUAGUUACUAUUGAAGAGUUAAUUAGACCAGACCAAUAAGAUCUAAAGUUGUCCAGUCCUUUCAAAUUUUAGGAUUGAUGUAACUGCACUAACCACAUAAUGUUUCUAGUACUUUGUCCUGCAUUUCUUGCUUCGACUGUCUCUGCUUUCUACCUGUUGUAUGAUUAUUUAUGUUAUUGCUGUAUUGCACCUCUAAGACUGCUUAUUAGCAGAUAUUUAUUGGUUACUUUUCUAGUCUUUGGUAAGCACGAGUUCGAAUGAACCAUGGACUGCAAUAGUCUCUAGUCUUAGUUAAGCAUGAGUCUGAAUGAACCAUGAAUUGUAAUAGUUGGCACCAGAUGAAUGCCGGAAUGCUACUUAUGAUGUAAUGUACUUAUCUUUUUAACCAUGAGACAUUGAUAAGUUUCAGUUCCAACUUAAUUGACUGUCAAUUGAUUGACUUUUUGGCAACUUAAUUGACUGUCAAUUGAUUGAUUUUUUGGCUUUCAAUCGGCACGGGGUCAAGUCAGAGGUUGGAAACUCAUACUGAAUUUUUCGACUGUUUCUGCUGCUGAUAACCGACAAGAAACACUAGGUAUACAUUUCUCAUGUUUGAUGUAGUUAAAGUAAUUGUGACGGAAGUGAGUAGCUGCAUGGGUUGUUCCAACCAUAACAUAUUGUAUAAGAUAAGUUUGACCUUGAUUUUGGUGAACACCUGGGUGAGAUAUUUGCGGACUCAAGACUGGACCGUGCUGUGACCUAUCACGAGUCACGCACAGCUAGUGUAAUUUGACAAAUGACUUUGGCUAGAUUCUCUAAGCUGUACUUGGAACCAUGCAAAUACCAUAGUUUUAUUGGAAACAUGUAAUGUUCAAGCUGCCAUUUUUUUAUGAGCCGUGUAUUUGAAUAUUUGGACUUCCAAUAUGCCUGAGUUCUUUUGUAGGCAUGUCAAGUUUACUUCACCAUUUUGACCAAUGGCUAUCCCCGAUACAGUGUAUACUUCACCUUAGAAUAUAAGUUUAGUUUAUUCCUAUAAACAUAAAAAUUAUGGUUGACUAUAUAAAGGACAUGUUUGUAGAUGUGGCAAUAUGGUUUUCACCUUGUGGGAUCAAAUAAACAAAAUAUACAUGUGUGUAUAGUAGAUUUUUUGUGCAAAUGACCUUGUUAUGACUUUGAAAUUCAAACAAGGAGGUUAUCUUGUGUUUGUAUAUGCGGCCACAAAUUUAGACAAAUAAGUCAUUGGAAUCAUAUCUGGAAAUAUUAGUAGGAUGGGGAUAGUAACAAGGAGGAAGAUAUGGGCUCUCAGCUAGUGGACUGGGAGGUGGUUCAACUGGAUAAAAGGUGUGGUGGUUUGGGUAUCAGGGAUUUAAGAAUGCAGAGCAAUGAUGAAAUGGUUAUGGAGAUUCAAUUGGGAACAUGAGGCUUUGUUGAAGGAAGUAAUGUGAGCAAAUAUGGCCAGACUGAUUAAAGAUGUUAGACAGUUGACCACUUAAACUACAUAGUUAGAGAUUGUUUGCUAUUGCUUAUGCCUCAGCAGAGAAGUAAAGUCCUGCUCUCCUCUCGUCCCCGUAGGUUUCUAGUUCUAUAGCUUAACCCUUACUUUUACGAUGAAAGGACAGAGGUGUGGCGGCAAGUCAAAUUUUUGGUCUCCAAAUUUCAGUCCCAGUAGAAUCUUAUUUUUGUCGCGAUUAGGCAUAAGUGGUGAAAGAAGUGGGACCUAGACAUCAAAUAUAGGAUUGUUUUUAUAUACAAUCUCCAUUUUAGUAGUCCUAGCUAUCCACUUUACUAUGUGGUAGAGUGUUCAUCCCAACCCCUUCACAGGGGUGCAUUCCCUUUAAUUGAGAUGACUAGAAAUUGACUCCCCUAUUCGAGAUGUGAAAGAAGGGUAUGGAGUUUAUCCAAGGAAUGCUCUCCCAUGGUGUACUGAUAAUGUUACUAGAAUCUAUGGAACAUCGCUGUGGAGAACUAUCAGAAACCUUAGGCCUAAGUUGUCUUGAUCACAUGAAUUGAAAGGUGCGAAAUGGGAGCAAAAUAUUAUUCUGGGCUGAUCUAUAAAUUGGCCUGGGGAUUCUGAAGCAGACAUUCCCAGACCUCUUCAAUAUUUGUUCUGCUCCUAGUCUCAGCAGCUGACAGCUGGUCACCAGUCACUACAAUGGUGGGAUGUCUCGGAACACCUGGAUGAUUGGGUACUGAGAAGAUUUGCGGAGUUGAUGAAGGUCCGAGAGGGUUUCAAUAGCACCACUACAGAUGGAAGCAUAACAGGGAUGAGAUCUCAGUUAGAACAAGCUACAAGCAAGAAGCAGGGAUGCAACCUCAGAUCACAACAGGGCCCUGGAAACAUGUUUGGUCAAACAUGGCGCCAACAAAAGUAAAAUGCUUUGGUUGGCUAGUUUCCAGGAAGCCUGCCUCACACAUCAAGAAUUGCAGAAGAGAAAGUUUCACAUUGCUUCUGGCGUUUUCUCUGCUAUGAGAAAAGAGAGACCAACAACCACACAUUCCUACAUUGCAAACUCAAAUCUCAAUUAUGGUCUCUGUUCCUCCAAUUAACAAUGCUUAAAUGGACAAUGCCGAGUACUCAACAGAUCUCUUAGGUUGCUGGACAAGGAGAGGGGGCAGCAAGAAUCAAAAGAACUGGGGGUUAUUAAUUCCACCCUGUAUUUGGCGGACAAUUUGGAAGGAGAGAAAUGGUGGAUGUUUUGAAGAUAAGACACAACAUCCACAAAGUAAAGCAUGUCCCUAAUGCCGAGGAAUACAAAUUUUACCAGAUUCAAAAAAGAAAAUAUGCCCAAGUUCUUACUUAGCAGGGAAGAAUGAAGGACGCCCAGCUUGGAUCACAUAUUAUGAGAUUUCAUGGUAUGAUCGUGGCAAGGACUCAUCUGAAUGACUGACUGAUCCUAAUAUUACUUCUGGCGAUAGUUUUCCUACUAAAUUAUAUUCAUCUGUUUUAUUGGUUUGUUGGGAAAGACAUGAUGGAAGAUCUCAAGUAUUUUCUAAAAAGUAGUAUUGUACCUAUUUGGGCUAUGCCAGUGAGUUGAUCCUCAUACUUAAUUCAGUAGCUAUAAAAUUACUCCAUGGAUGCGAUUAGUACCUCA